UUGAAAGGGAAACGAUUGAAGUCAGUCGUACCUGCGGGUAAUCAGCCUUUUGGGCAUGAUUCUGUGGAGCGUGAGGAGUUAAACGCCUUCAUGCCUGCAUAUUCGUGUACUUUGGGUGUACUUGCCUGUGUGGUUAGUUAACAUCAAUUUUGGUUAUCAUAAAAUGGUUGGAGGAGUGUAGCUUCGAUUUCGAUUGAAGUGUUAUAGACUUCGGCAGAUGUGAUGAUCGGGAUUAAGGAUUGCAACGGAUACCCUUCGGGGCUACCUGUCUGAUCUCUGAUCGUUGCUCUGGUGCCGAAAGCGUGCUUACGGUUAUCAAAGUCGAUGGUUAAUAGGUUAGAAUGGGUUAAAUUCGUUAAGGAUGUUGACGUA
rnacentral:rRNA from 1 species